ACUGUGAUUAGUAAACUACAAAGGUGCCCUAUCCCCUUCUAGCGAUCUAAACAAGCUAUCUUCCUGCCUCGUCAAGUCGGCCUGGAAGGCUUCUCGCCUGUAUAUUCUCCCUUAGCAUUGGAACACUGGGUGCAAACACUCUCCCCUGCUUGUGGUCUUAUUGCGGAGACAUCCAUCAGAGAGAGCUGAGAGAAGAGGAGACAGGACCCUGAGAGCAGGGGCAGCACGUAAGAGGUCACUGAAGAACUGCAGACAACAGUGAAGCCAGGGGAUAUAGAAUGGGGAUUCUUCAAUGUUGAGAGGCUGGAUGACGGACAGGAGUUCAAGCACCUGAAUCUUUUUGGCCAUGAUUAACUAGAAGCACAGAAUGAGAAACAAGGUUGAGGAUGUGAUCUCUCAGCUUCUUCCUCCUGCUGCCAUCCCUACAACUUAUGACCAUGCUUCUCUACCAGGAUGAACUUUUGUCCCGUUGGAACUCCCCUGACUCCAAGCCCACAGAGGAAGUCAAAGUCACGUGCUUUACUUGAGCUUUACCUUCAAGAUGCGCAGUAUCCGAAGGAGUCGAACUAUAUUCAUGAAGAUCACAGUCUCAGAUACAGAGAAAUCAAACUGAAACUGAGCUGGAAGCUUCCUCCCUGCUGGCUAGCCCUCAUAGUUUCAUAAGAUGGCAUGAAACUUCUGGGGAAAUUUGUCAUGAACUGUCUUGCUCAGCUGUGGAAACUGUGUGCAACAAUGCUGACUGGCCAGGCAAGAACUCCCUGGUUCAACUGUGGACACCCCAACCUGUGGAGCUACUGAGCAAUUCCAACUAAGAAAUGGCAAAAUCAACUUCAAGCUCCUUCAAUUCUAUGGAGUUCCUGCAAGCAUUUGAAAGACAAGUGGUGUAUAUGUUGUCCUCAGUUUACCCUGUAUUUCCUUGAUGACCAGGUUGAGCACCUUAGUCCAAGAACUAUCCAGCCAGAUGUAGAAUAAUUCAUGACUUAAGAGUAUUCGCAGAAAAUAAAGCAUAAGAAUUAUGAAACAGCUGUCCUGGGAAGAAACGUGACCAUCUUCUGCAACUUGACAAGUCUGGCAAAUGUUCUACAAGUUACCUGGCAA